AUGGGGGCCUUGCACCGUGACCCUUCAGGGCUGGGACAUGGAAAAAUGGGCUGGUGGGGACAGGAGAGCAAGGGGCCGUGCUGGAUGAGCUGGGGGGACCUGGCACAAAUAUCCUGGCACAAAUAUCCUGGCACAAAUAAAUACCCAUCACAAAUGUCCAUCUCCACCUGGGGGUGGCUGGAGGGGCACCGGGGUCCCAGCUCUCCCCAGGAGCCCCUGGGAUGCGAGGAGGUGCAGGAGCUCGAGGUGCCCCCCGCAGCCCCCUUUAGGGCGAACAUUUCCACCCCUGCUGCCUGCCUGGGGGAGCGCUGCCUCACCCGGUCCUGCUCAGGAGAUUUGGGUCCCCCCCUCACCCCGCUGAGCCCCAGGGCUCAGCCCCACGCCACUGUGCACCCAGGGGCCCGUGACGGCUCUCGGGGCGUGGGAGGGGACGUGCUGGUGGCGCUGGGGCCGCGGGGAGGGGGCCGGUCCCCGCGGCCGUGCUUCGCUGGUCCCAUCUGCCACGGCUCGCAGCCAACUUCUGCUUCUGCGAGCGCCGGCCUCACUUCUCCUUUGCACCCCGAGACGGGCAACCGCCAGGCAGCGGGGCCACCCCACAGGCACCCCACAGAGCCGGGCGGGAGCCAGCAGGGAUCGGGACUUGCCCGGCAUCUUCCCGCAUGGCACAGAGCGUGCUCUACGCCGACCUGCGCUUCGCCAAGGGGCCGGGGGGCCGUGGCACGGCCAGCCAGGCACUGGAGGCAGGUGAGAGCUGCAGGACCCCCACAUUGCCCUGUGCCGUGCCCAGAUUUGUUGGCUCCAUGCCCCCUGCCUUCCUCCCGCAGCCUUAGGCAUGGACGAGGCCGAGAGCCCCUACGAGAACAUGGCAUCGGGGCCGGCACCCGCGGGGCCGGCUGGGGAAGGGACCUUGGAAAGCCCAGGGCGCUGCUCCCGGCGGCUCUGUGUCUCUGCGGGGCUGCUGGUCACCUGCCUGCUGCUGAUGGUGGCUGCCGUGGUCCUGGGGGCCUGCUGUGAGUGGGGACGGGGCGGUAACGAGGCAUGGGGACAGGGGAGAGGGGACGGGGUGGGUGCCACAGGCGGAUAUCAGGUUGUGUGUGUGUCUGUGGGUCCCCCUGCCCUGUCUGCCCCUGGCUGGCCAACGUCUCUCUCACAUCCUGCGCAUCUCCCUCAACCAUCUUCUUCUUUCCUUCUCCUGCCCCUGCCCUGCCCUCCCCUGCCACCUCCACGCUUCCCUGCCUCCCCCAUCCCUUCCCACCCGGCGAGGACACCUCCCUGCCCUCACACCCCAUGCCCCGCGUCCCACCUCACCCCAAACCCUCCCCA
rnacentral:lncRNA from 1 species